UACAGAGGUGGCAAGCGUUGUUCGGAAUUACUGGGCGUAAAGGGCGCGUAGGCGGUCUUGCAAGUCCCGUGUGAAAUCCCUCGGCUCAACUGAGGAACUGCACGGGAAACUGUUUGGCUUGAGUUCGGGAGAGGGAAGCGGAAUUCCGGGUGUAGCGGUGAAAUGUGUAGAGAUCGGGAGGAACACCGGUGGCGAAGGCGGGUCUCUGGGCAAUUCCUGACGCUGAGGCGCGAAAGCGUGGGGAGCAAACGGG
rnacentral:rRNA from 1 species